rnacentral:rRNA from 1 species
AAUUGUCGGCAAUGGGGGCAACCCUGACCGCGCGACGCCGCGUGGGUGAAGAAGGUCUUCGGAUCGUAAACCUCUGUUGUAAGGGAAGAACCGUACCAGUGCGGACUGCCUGGUACCUUACGGUACCUUCCCAGCAAGGCACGGCCAAAUUCCUUCCCGCCGCCGGGGGAAUACGUAGGUGGCAAGCGUUAUCCGGAAUUUUGGGGCGGAAAGGCAGGGAAGGCGGCUUAUUAGUUCUGAGGUUAAAGUUCGGGGUUCAACCGGGUGAUGCCUUAGAAACUGGUAGGCUAGAGUGCAGGAGAGGGGAGUGGAAUUCCAGGUGUAGCGGUAAAAUGCGUAGAUAUAUGGAGGAACACCAGUGGCGAAGGCGGCUCACUGGACUGUAACUGACGCUGAGGCUCGAAAGCGAGGGGAGCAAACA